rnacentral:rRNA from 1 species
UACGGGGGGGGCAAGCGUUAAUCGGAAUUACUGGGCGUAAAGCGUGCGCAGGCGGUUUUGCAAGACCGAUGUGAAAUCCCCGGGCUUAACCUGGGAAUGGCAUUGGUGACUGCACGGCUAGAGUGUGUCAGAGGGGGGUAGAAUUCCACGUGUAGCAGUGAAAUGCGUAGAGAUGUGGAGGAAUACCGAUGGCGAAGGCAGCCCCCUGGGAUAACACUGACGCUCAUGCACGAAAGCGUGGGGAGCAAACAGG